CCUACGGGUGGCAGCAGUGAGGAAUAUUGGUCAAUGGACGCAAGUCUGAACCAGCCACGCCGCGUGCAGGAAGACGGCUCUAUGAGUUGUAAACUGCUUUUGUACGAGGGUAAACGCAGAUACGCGUAUCUGUCUGAACGUAUCGUACGAAUAAGGAUCGGCUAACUCCGCGCCAGCAGCCGCGGUAAUACGGAGGAUUCAAGCGUUAUCCGGAUUUAUUGGGUUUAAAGGGUGCGUAGGCGGUCGGAUAAGUUAGAGGUGAAAGCCCGAGGCUCAACUUCGGAAUUGCCUUUGAUACUGUUCGGCUAGAGAGUAGUUGCGGUAGGCGGAAUGUAUGGUGUAGCGGUGAAAUGCUUAGAGAUCAUACAGAACACCGGUUGCGAAGGCAGCUUACCAAGCUACUUCUGACGUUGAGGCACGAAAGCGUGGGGAGCAAACAGGAUUAGAUACCCGAGUAGUC
rnacentral:rRNA from 1 species